rnacentral:rRNA from 1 species
UUAGUGGCGAACGGGUGAGUAACGCGUGAGUAACCUGCCCUAGAGUGGGGGACAACAGUUGGAAACGACUGCUAAUACCGCAUAAGCCCACGGUACCGCAUGGUACUGAGGGAAAAGGAUUUAUUCGCUUUAGGAUGGACUCGCGUCCAAUUAGCUAGUUGGUGAGGUAACGGCCCACCAAGGCGACGAUUGGUAGCCGGACUGAGAGGUUGAACGGCCACAUUGGGACUGAGACACGGCCCAGACUCCUACGGGAGGCAGCAGUGGGGGAUAUUGCACAAUGGGGGAAACCCUGAUGCAGCGACGCCGCGUGGAGGAGGAAGGUUUUCGGAUUGUAAACUCCUGUCGUUAGGGACGAUAAUGACGGUACCUAACAAGAAAGCACCGGCUAACUACGUGCCAGCAGCCGCGGUAAAACGUAGGGUGCAAGCGUUGUCCGGAAUUACUGGGUGUAAAGGGAGCGCAGGCGGGAAGACAAGUUGGAAGUGAAAACCAUGGGCUCAACCCAUGAAUUGCUUUCAAAACUGUUUUCCUUGAGUAGUGCAGAGGUAGAUGGAAUUCCCGGUGUAGCGGUGGAAUGCGUAGAUAUCGGGAGGAACACCAGU